rfam:Leersia perrieri chromosome 2, whole genome shotgun sequence.
AAUGCAAUGAUGAUAUUAAGGAUUUUGGCCGUGGCAACAUUAGUUGCCGUGAGCAUUCAAUCCAAAAAACGACUUCUCUUUCCACUGAGCAUN